UACGUAGGGUGCGAGCGUUAAUCGGAAUUACUGGGCGUAAAGCGUGCGCAGGCGGUUUUUUAAGACAGAGGUGAAAUCCCCGGGCUCAACCUGGGAACUGCCUUUGUGACUGCAAGGCUUGAGUGCGGCAGAGGGGGAUGGAAUUCCGCGUGUAGCAGUGAAAUGCGUAGAUAUGCGGAGGAACACCGAUGGCGAAGGCAAUCCCCUGGGCCUGCACUGACGCUCAUGCACGAAAGCGUGGGGAGCAAACAGG
rnacentral:rRNA from 1 species